rnacentral:rRNA from 1 species
CGUAGGUCCGAGCGUUGUCCGGAAUUAUUGGGCGUAAAGGGCUUGUAGGCGGUCCGUCGCGUCAGGAGUGAAACUCGGGGCUUAACCCCGAGCCUGCUUUUGAUACGGGCGGACUAGAGGGAUGCAGGGGAGAACGGAAUUCCUGGUGGAGCGGUGGAAUGCGCAGAUAUCAGGAGGAACACCGGUGGCGAAGGCGGUUCUCUGGGCAUUACCUGACGCUGAGAAGCGAAAGCGUGGGGAGCAAACAGGCUU